rnacentral:rRNA from 1 species
CUACGGGAUGCACCAGUGAGGAAUAUUGCACAAUGGGGGGAACCCUGAUGCAGCAACGCCGCGUGGAGGAUGACGCAUUUCGGUGUGUAAACUCCUUUUAUAUGUCAAGAAAAUGACGGUAGCAUAUGAAUAAGCACCGGCUAACUCCGUGCCAGCAGCCGCGGUAAUACGGAGGGUGCAAGCGUUACUCGGAAUCACUGGGCGUAAAGGACGCGUAGGCGGGUUGGAAAGUCAGGUGUGAAAUCCUACAGCUUAACUGUAGAACUGCACUUGAAACUUCCAAUCUAGAGUAUGGGAGGGGGAGAUGGAAUUAGUGGUGUAGGGGUAAAAUCCGUAGAUAUCAGGAGGAAUACCUAAAGCGAAGGCGAUCUCCUGGAACAUAACUGACGCUAAGGCGUGAAAGCGUGGGGAGCAAACAGGAUUAGAUACCCGAGUAGUC